GCAGGGGGGGACUGGAUGGGCUUUGAGGUCCAUUCCAACCCAAACCAUUCCGUGAUUCUGUGAUAUUUCAUUCCUGGAGCUCAAGGCGCUCCCAAUGGGAAUGGGAGAGCGAAGCAGCGCAUCACUCCUGUCACGAACAUUGGGAAACCAAAACGCGGUGGGGCGGGCGGUGGUGGAGCUCUGGCCCACAAGUGACCGGAGCAAAAGGCAGAGCUGGGAGGGUUGGGGCCCCUACGGCGCAGCGGGAGCAGACCCGUACGUCCGAGGACACAAUGUUCCGUGCAUUUACAAGUCAUUUUUUCACUCCAGCUGAGCUCCAGGCGGACACCGCAGCCUGAACGCCCAUGGGCGGCCGGGGACCGUGAGGUGCGUUCCUGGAGCGCGUUUGAUUUGGUGUCAUCUGAAAGGAAUCCAGCUGAUGACCUCCCGAGCCUGAGCGCUCCAGGACAGAAUCCAAAGCGCAGUAAAGUGGGGAAAGUUGGGAGAUGGGUUUCAGCAGUGUAGCCCUGAGCAAACCCAACGUGCUGGAGCGGGCACACCUCCAUGGGAGUUGGGAGAAAGAGGACUUUGCUGUCUAACCACCCUCCACCCAGAGAGGUGUUUGCCGCUCUCCUGAGCCCCAGCAAAGGCACAGGCCCAGGGGAGCUGCCCACGAUCUCAGGGCAGGUGUCGGGGCCCUGGGACGCUUAACUGGGCUCAGGUGGGCACCCACCCCACACCUGCUGCCCAUUGGGGUGGGGGCUCCAUUUAAGCCCAGGCCUGGGCUGUGAGCACUCUCCAAAGUUGAGCUGGGGGUUCUGCCUGCUCUUCUGGACAGAACUCAGGCUGAUGCGGCAGUCCCAGCUCCUGGAUGGACCUUGGACCUGUGGUAGACAGCUGUCACCACCACCCUGGCCCUGCUGAGCGCGGCAGCAACCCAGCGAGUGAGGGCACUGCCUGUGCCGGGGUCACCCACUCGUUCUGCCCCGAUGGGAACCCAAACCAGCCCAACACAGGCACGUCAGCUCCUCGGACUGAGCCUCUCCUCUCCAGAUGGAUCCCACCGCGGUGCAACGUGAAGUCAGUCACCUCACCCCCCCGCGGGGGCUCCUCCGCGCUCCCCGGGUGCCCCUCGCUGCUGUGCACCGAGCCCGUGUAUCUACGUACGGACCUGAUACGCGCACCCCGCUGAGGGGGGACAGAGGCACCUGCCGGGCUGCGCUGGGAAGAGGAAUUCAGAGGAACUCGGGCAAUUGCACCGGCAGGGAUACCUGGAUUGCCCAUGGCCCAGUACUGGGUUACUCCCGUCAGUCCGGGUGAGUGGCGUUCUCAAGCCACACCGGCACCUCCCCUGGAAGUCCUGCACUUUGGUCUGCUGGAGCUGCAACACUGGAUUCCAGUCUAAGUGAUACCAUUGAGAACAAGCCACUUCAGCUAAAGCUGCUAAAAAUUUGCAUCAUCUGGAGUAACAGUCGAAGGCCUCGUAUGUAAAUGUGACUGCAGGAGACUCCAAUCACCGGAACAAUCCCACCAGGAGGCAAUCUUACAGAGCGAUGCCAUGAGACAGUUUGCAGCAAGAGCAACAUCCGAGUGGGGACCAAACCCACAAGGACAGUUUACUUUAAGAGAGAGAAAGAAAAAGGAAAAAUCCCUUAGCCAUGAUAUUCUUGGGCAAUUAAAUCCUCCCAAAAGCAUUUCAGAGACUGCAUGUCAGCUGGGCACACGGCUUCGGCAAUGGAACUCCAGUUAUACUAGAACAGAUUCCAAGCUCUUCGUCCCCGAAGGCAGUUAAAUCAGAAGCAUUAGUAUCAGUAAGAUCCAAGUGGAAAAGGUAACUCUAACUGUAUUAAAAACCAGACCACAUUCCUAGUCCGUGUAACGCCCACUCGUGAGGCUGGUUUUAAAUCAUCUCCAGUUUAACCUCUUUGUACUCAUCCUACUUCAGCCAGGAAAGAACUCUCCUCCUGCUCCGAGCUCACAUGGGCAGGAGAAGUCGUGCGUGCAAUGAGCAGUGCAGGUAUGUGAGCACAGAUGACGCUGACCCCGCUUCCUAGGGCCGUGGCGCAGCUCCCGCCAGGCCCAGGAGACAGACUGCCACACUCAGACCCGGCACGAGUUACCCACUUCAGCUGCUCACCCGUCAAUUCACAUUUACAGUUGGCAUGCUGCAUUUUUCACGCUUGUUGACAGCCUUCUAAUAACGAUGACUGGGGGUUGAACUUGCCAAAAAAGUAUCUCUGUGCUCGCCAAGACUGAGUUGACACUAGAAUACAAAUCAUCAGUGUCAAAGUUUUUGCUAACUGUUUCUCAAUAAAAAAAAUUAGAGCAUCCAAGAGUGACCUAGAAAAGCUGAAACGCGGAGAGCUCUCGGCACACUCCCUCAAAUCAAACCAGGCUUCUGCUUCAACUGCAUUCGGCCAAACAUUAAAACUUGCAGUAAAAUCUCACUUUGGAGCCUCUUUGCAGCGAGCUGACAGCUCUCCAAGUGUUCCAUGCCACGGGUUGUGCUUCAGCAGCUGCCACAGGAGCCGCCAAACCGCACAGGGAUGCAGCUGCAGCACUCAGCACCGCAGCCGAUUGCUCUGGAGGAAGGGGGCUCCGGCUGCUCCAGUGGGAUGGGACCGUGUGUCACCCUCCCUGGCGCAGCAGAACAGUAACUGUCAGGCCCAGCUUUACAGAUCACACGCCUGGAGCAGAGACAGGUCAUUCCUGGAGCAGAACCACGGCUCAGCUCUAGAGCCCCCGAAUCCAAGAGAAUUAAUAAGCCAAAGUCUUCUCUUGGCUAUAACCACAGAGCAGCAACCAAGGGAGUGUAGGAAGCACCGUCCCCGCACUCUGCACCACAAGCAAACUGCAUUCACAUCUCCUCCUGCACAGGCUUGGGCACAAAACCAAGCACCACUCCAGCCAAUUAUUUCCUUGUAUUGUUCAUAGUUUAAUUACAUGGAAAAUAUCCAUGGAUAUUUUCAUGAACUGAAAGGUUCUGGUAUCCUUUUUUAUGAGUAACAACCAAGUUGGAAGACUGUUCUCCAGACUUGGCUGGAGCAGGAGCACCAUGAAAGGCGGCUGAGGGCCCUGGGGCUGUUUAGCCUGGAGAAGAGGUGGCCGAGGGGAGACCUCAUCACUGUCCACAGCUCCCAGAAAGGAGAGUAUAGUGAGGUGGGUGCUGGGCUCUUCUCCCAAGUGACAGGUGAUAGGAUGAGAGGAAAUGGCCUCAAGAUGCACCAGGGCAGGUUCAGAUUAGAUAUGAGGAAAACUUUCUUCAGCAAAAGGGUUCUCAGGCCCUGGCAGAAGAUGUCCAGGGCGAUGGUGGAGUCCCCGUCCCUGGAGGGGUUUAAAAGACAGGCAGAUGAGGUGCUCAGGGAUCCAGUUUAGCAGUGGACAGGCACAGUUAGACUUGAUCUCAAAGGUCUUUUCCAACCAAACAAUUCUAUGAUUCUAUGACUGACGUGGCUCCGUAGGUGAAAAAAGAAAUGAAAAUAUCAUUUGCAAACAGAUAUAAAAUUGCAGAUGAAGAUUCUGACAGAAGAACGCUUACGGGCAGCAUGGCAGGCACAUUAGAAUACUAGAAUUAACCACAUUUAUGUAAUGUUAAUUCAGCCCUCUUGUGCAUAUUUACUGUAAUUCAUUAUACAUCCAUCAUCUUUAAAUUAUUUAAACCAACUAAUGACUGGUGUUUACUGCCCUGGGGAGGCUUGAGGAGGACCCCAGGAGGAGCUGCGGAUGCAGAGGGAGCCCCUGGCCCCAGUGGUACUCGCCCGAACAGCCACUCUCCCCGUCCUCAGGGGGUCUGCAGCCCAGGCCUCCCAACAUGCUGACAGCACAGCACAGGGAGACAAGCGGCUGAGAGCAGGAGUUAUCGAAUUGUAACCACAAAUCAGACCACUUUCAGGUUUUUCUCCUAUGUGAGUCUGGAUUAGAAAUGCAAAUAGAACAACCCCAACUGCAACACAGUGUGAAUUACAUAAUGGCAUCCUGUUUCACUGGCAUGGCUCUCGUCUCUGUAUGGAGGCUGGGGCGAAGCUGGCAGGGAGAGCACAGGGCGCUUUCCCCUAAGGUAUUCGUCUUCAGAUAAAGCAGGUGGAUGGGGUCAAAACACCAAGGGUCCCUCCGACCCACACAUCCCCAGCUGCUUGUGGAAUGCAGAGGCAGCAUCUUCCCAGGACAGAGCAGAGGGCCAACACCACCACACCUGGGAGAAUAAGAGACCAGCUGGAUCUAUUUCAGACCAGGAUCAUCUCAGCCACAGAAACUGGCUUCUCAUCCUGUGUUUUCCAUAUGCUGAAGUUUUUAUCUCUGAGCUCCUUGGCAGCUGCUGUGCUAGGGAGUCAGCUCUACAGCGCAACAGGCAGGACAUCUGCUUACCUCUGACAAAAAGCAGAUGAGAGAAGCUGUGAACCCACAAACCACAAUCCAUCUGUAAUUAAACAGUUAGAAAACAAAGCGUGACAUGGAGAGAUGAAGGAAGGAGAGCAGUGCAGCCUGCUGUGGGGUAUUGCAGCAACCUGCCAUUUCCUACAGGAACAAGCAAAUCCCUAAUGUAACAGGUAGGACUUUCUCCAUGGCUUUCAGCCCCCUUCUCCAGCUCCCUAACCACUUGCAGCUUCUUUAUACUGGCCUGAUCUGUCGAUGCCCGGUACUCCACUGCUGACAGCCAAAGCAGAUUUGAGAUAACACAGGGGAAAGGAUGGUCUGACAAGUGGUGAAACCCUGGGGAACAGCUACCUCACCAUGUGGAUCCAGACAACCUCGACGUGUACUAUUAUUUCAGGACUCUAUCAAGGUGAAUCUCACACAGUAGUUGUGUUAGUGGUCACCUGGAAGCAAGGAUGUUUGGCUCCUGGGCAUGGGUGAUGCUAUGGGGCUGAAGAGAGCGUGGUGUCAUCCUGAAGCAUUUAGCAGCAAGGCAUUGCUCUCAACAGUGACCUGACGCCAACCAGCAUGGCAUGCUCAGGGCUCAUGGUCAGUGAGGUCAGAGGAGGCCUGAGACUGAGAGCCCAGAGAUGCGAUCAGCACUCCCGAGUUAUCAGAAAACAAUUUCAGGCACAUCACUGACAGGCACACUAAACAGAACUGGUGCUACCACAGAACUGAGGCAUAAGGAGGCUAACUUUGAGAGUCCUAAAGAUGUAGUAGCUAAAUUAAGAUGUUACACAGGGAUUAUUUUAUCCCAGACAACACUCAGUGCCUCUUUUUCAAAAUCCUUUCACACAAAACCCUUGCCCUGGGACCACAUGCUGGGACACACAUGUCUCCACUCUACCUGCUCCCUGACAGCCUCCUCAGGCCUCCCUGUUUCCCUGGUUAUCUGGUCAUUUGUCCCUCAGCAGAAGGUGCCAGUCCAUACCCGUUAAGCCCGCGAUUCCCACAGACACCCCAUCUGAGACGCCUCCAGUUUCCCUCCUACGAUUUCUGAGUUCCCUGGCUACCAGCCACACUCUUUUUAAGCAAGUCCCAGCAUCUUUCUACAAUCCAUCUCCCCAUAUCGACAUCCUUUCUUGCAAACACACACAGAAAUUGCCUUUCGGAAAACAGCAGCUCUCUCCAUUUUAUUGCCUGACAACGAGCUGCAAUUCACUUCCAAGUUAGGACUCUCCAAGCGCGUAUCUUUUAAACACGGCAUUUGCUUCCCUUGUCAGCACACUCAGUCCUGCUCUGAGAACACCACCAAAACAGUCGGCACAGGCAAGCUCCCAAUUACAGCUCCAGGAAGGAUAACAGCCAUGUGUCGCAGCUUGAACAAACACACCAUGUGCCGAGGAUUUCACAUGCUCUAGGGCCAGCUUUGGGCGGUAGGUGAUAUGAAUGGCUUCUGCUUUUUACUCUUUAAGGAGAUUUCAACACAUCUCAAAGUUUUCUUUGAUCCAGUGAAGCAAAGUGGACCUUCUGCCGCCACUGAAAGCCCUAACAGCUUCCUGUCCAGCUAACUCUAACCUUCAGCUUCCCUGUCCCCUUGGAAAAGGGCACCUUUGCAGAUCAGCACUGAAAGAUCACUGGGAAAAUGUGGAAAUUUUAAAAUGCAAGCCUUUCCUAUGCAGUAUAAGGGGUCAGAAGAGGAUUUCUAGAGUUCAAACAGUGAGGGUCUGGGGACAUCAAGAGAUACCAGCUUCAACGGGAACAAGUUCUGUGCUCAGUGCUACUGGCUCUGCUCCCGUUCCACAGCGAAAGAGAAGCAUGGAUGGCUAAGCACUUAUUGCAGGGUAAGCCGAGAAGGUCACACAUAUCAAGCACUUGUUCCAGUGCCCAAAAAAGUACGAAUCAGGCUGAAUCCUCUAUUUGAGAAUUAUACUUAAACUAUCCAAGUUUAAGAGUAUUUAAAUAUUUAACAUAUUGAGUCUUAGUCACAGGCAGCUCCAGGGACGGGUCCACAUGGCUCUGCCUCAUCUCUAUUCCUUUCCUGAUUCAUCACCGUCUCCUGCCCAGACUCUGUGUUUGAACAAGAGCUGCUUCAAAGACUCCCUUUGCUCCCAACAUAGUGAUUUCUCUUUUCCGUCCACGAUGCUGCUCCAGUGCCUGGACAUACUUCUCAAUACUUUAUUAGAUGGCCUGUUCUUCCUCAAAGGUCAUCCCACCCCACAACGCUGGUAAACAAUAUAACAAGCAAGCAUGUUAACACAACACAGCAAUCUCCACCAGGACCUACCUGUCCCUUUCCCCCAGUGCUACCUUGCAACUAGCAGUGGGACAACAGCGAGGGAAGGCCCAGCUCCUGACUCACAGGUUUGAAGCACAAUACCAAAACACUAAAGAGCAAGGUCAAAGCAAUAAGGUGUUGGAUGAAAGUGAAACUGGAAAGCUCUGCAUUAAAGGGUUAAACUCAUUCCUAGACAGUUUAGCUUUUCAGAUGAAGCAUUUGAAGACCUCAUAACCAAACAAAAGUACAUCCUUUUCCUGGAGCGUGUAGCCAUGGGAUCGCACACCAAUUCCAACACUGCUUGGCCUGCGUGGUAACCUGACUGUGGAUGCCCUGCGCUGCAGCAAACAUCGCUAAGCACAUGCCAGCUGUAAACUGGGAAGAGAACAGUUCGAAGGCUUCCCAGACAUGCCCUCAGGCUCACUUCUGCAGCUCCAUUGCCUUCCUCUCAAUGCACUCCAGCCCCUCAACAUCCUUCUUGUCAUGAGAGGCCCAAAGCUGAACCCAGGAUUCGUGGUGUGGCCUCACCAGUGCCAAGUCCAGGGCGUGAUCCCUUCCCUAAGUCAGUGCAACGGGCAGAGAAGCAGGCAGCAGUAAGGACACACACUGAGCUCACAUGGACCAGGCACAGAAGAAUGCCUCAUCUGGGAAAGAAAGAAUCAAAGCACAUCAGCUCUCUGCUCCAGCAUUAUCACAAGCCGGGAAGAAUCAGUCAGGCUUUCACAAACCUAGGACCACAAAAAGUAAAACACCUCAGUCAUCACAUCAUUAACAACAGCUCUGCACUGUGAGAUAGCUUCUUAGCCAGACUUCUCAACCUGAUUUUAUGCAUAUGAAAAUACAUUUUGCGAUUCUGAGGACUUCAAACCACUUUCUCUGUUAACCCUGCUCUUGAGAUCCUUGAUGGAAAAGUACAUCGAAUAUUUGCUUGGGCUUUUACUGCCAUCCUGGCUCAAACCCAGUACACGAAGCCCAUCUGGAUAUUGCUGAUUUCCUGCUAAGACAUGGACUGUACAACACAAAAACUCAGAUUUCCCCUGCUGCCUGUGAAAACAGGAGAGUUACUGCCAUCCCCCUGUUCUAAAGAUGGCAGUGAUUUAUCCCUCCAUUUCAGAGAUUUAAAUACUUAAAUCUUGUGUUUACACUUUUAUAGCUUUGACCCUCAUUAAAAAUGUAAUUCAUUACAUAACACACUUGAUUUUAGACCCUCUUCCUUUGGGGAAUCUACUUCUGGAAGCUGUUUGUUCAUCCAGUGGAAGACAUCACUAACAACUUGUGGGUGGUCUGAAGUGAUAGAGACGCAGGAGGACACUUGGAUGCAACAUCUGCUAGUUGCCAACACAUACACGCAGCGCAACAGCACAGCAGAACAAACCCUAAGGCAGAAUGCUGCUUUACACCAGCCCCUUCCCUGCGACAAGUCAACCAACCACACAUUGUGCAGCUUCUGCAGAAGCCAGGAAGAACUUUCCACCUCCUUCCUCUGUCUCCUUGUACAAAGUGGCUUCAUGAUUUUCCCCCACUGCCCUCCUGGAGCAAUUGUAGCCAGAGGUGCAGUGAGCCGGGCACACGGUGGUGCUGAGGGCCGCCCGGCUGCUGUCCCACUCACACCUGGUGAGUUAGCCAGGCUGCCAGCUAUGAAGCAAGAAGAAAUUCUGCCUCUCUGAAGCCAGAGAGGAUAGGGGAGUGCACUUUCCUCAGGAAUGCACAGGGCUGCUGUCUGCCAGCACCCUCAGCGCUCUUCCAUCCAGUGUCUCCUCUCAUCUUGCAGCAAGCUCUCCUGAUCUCCAAUCCUGCAGCACACAGUGCUCCUUGGGUUCUCCGUGGAAAUUAAAGCUUUAAUGAGAGCCUGAAAGGUGGCUUCCAGGGGAACGGGGUGGAUAACAACUGUGUGCCCCUCUGUGUUAAAUACCCGUUUCCUUGUUGCUCGUGAUGGAUGGAUAAUGACACAACAGUGCUUCGACAUGCCAGCCCCCAUUCUCCACUGCAAUCAUGUUUUGUUUCUGGUCAACACCACUAACAGCACAGUUACGGUCAGAUGGAAACACAAAUUCACAAAAAGAAGCUGCUGACUCCCAUAGCUUUCGUCUUGCACCGUAACACCUGCAUCGAAUCUCUUACUUGUGUGAGUCUCAUAAUCUGAGCAGACCAAGGCAAAAUCAGGGUAUUCUUUUGGAAAGUACCCCAAUCCAAGGUAGCCACAAUUCUGUGAUGUACAUUGAAGCAGUUCGACACAAACUCAGUUGAGAAGAAAACAGACCACAACCCAUGUUGGAAGGGACAUUCAGCGCUCUCUCACUACCAUAACCACAGUUUCUGCAGGACAGCGGGCAGACUAUCACUCCUCCAAGGGCAGGAAACAGUGCUUCUGUUUCGAAACAACAGUAAAAUCCAUAUCAUCUGUAAGAGCAGUCCAGCAGUAAAACAUCACUCUGUACCUAUGCAUAGUCCUCAUGACCAAGAUCUCAUUGUCACAUGGUUAUUCCACUAACAUGUCAGGAGGAGAGGAUCUAACAGCUACAGACAGGGUAUCGUCUUUAUCCUGCACAGGCUUUCAAGGACUACUUCAAAUCCUUUCUAGCUGAAGGCAGAAUCUCACCUACAAACGAGUCACUCAGGAACGCUUCAUGUGUUGGCAAUGACUGAAACAAAGCUAGUCCUUAGGUGCUGCUCUGCCACUGAGUGCUCUGCAAUCCAACUUCAGUGCUACAGAAGGGGCAGAGAGCACUGAUCUGCAGAACAUGUUGCACUUCACAUUCACAUGCACAAGGUUUCAAGUACCCCCAGUUUUCCAACUGCCAUGCUGAGCGUGACCCAAGGUGCGGCUGCCCAACAGUGGCUCCUCACUCCGAGCCACCAGUGCAGGGAGCAUCCACCCCCAUGCACCUCUGGAUGCUGUAGAGCAGCAUGCGGUACCCAACUGGGGUGAGAGAUGCGCUGCAAGUACUGCUAUACCACAUUGUACUGUUAAUCAUCCAGAGACGACUGAAAGCUCAUCUUGGCAACCCUCCUGGACCAAGUUAUUAAAACAAACUUCAGGAAAUCACAAUUAUUCCUUAACGUUUGCCAGUUCAAGCUCCUGGCAUUGUAACCGCAGCAUCUCUCCCAUAACACCUGAAUAAUGAGGCAUUUAAGAUCUACUGGAAAAGAAGGGGCAUUUCAGAGAUAAAGCAUCACACAGACUUCUUAAUGUUAACCAGCAAAAAAAACCCAACAGACUCAUAAACAGAACAUAAACACCCAGGAACUAGAGGGAAUCAUAGAACCAUUGAGGAUGGAAAAGCCCUCUCAGCUCACCCAGUCCAGUCAUCAGCUCAAUCCCACCGUGUCCCCAAAUGUCACAGCCAUGCGCUUUGUGAACCCCUGUGGGAUGGGGACUCCACCCCUACCCUGGGCAGCCUCUGCCAAACCAGGAGCAAUUUCAUUUCGGAGAAGGGUAGGAAAGGAUGUUUUACCUGGAACAACCUAUUUACACAGCAGCCCAAGUGAGCUUCAGCAACAGAAUACAACAAGAUUUGAGUCCUGAGACAACCCUGCUGAGCCACAGCCCCCAGCAGCAAGCAGCAACACUAAGGAAGCCCAGCUUACACACCUGCUGCACGCUCUGAGCAGCUCACCCAGAAGCUGUCCUUGGAGACAAUCCCAUGACAGAGCGGCAGCUCGGCAGCAGCAAAAGCAAGCAAUCCUCAUCACAUGGGCCAGGUGAGAAGGAAGGAAAAAGGACGAAGGGAAAAAUGAAGGCAGGAUUUUGGAACAAGAGGAAUGUGGUAGAGGGAGACAGCAAGCCAAGAUCACACAAGUAGGGUAAGAAGACGCAGUUUCACAACUUCUCCAGUUGAAAGCACACUUGUUUUAAAAUCCUUUGGUUAGUGUGGAUUGCUUCAUGAGGCAAGGCAGGAUGGAGCUGCCAAGAAGUGUGCAGGAUUUCAUCCAGGUAUGGCUAGAAAAAACACACUGAUGGGCAGCUACCGCUGGCUGAAGGAAGAGCGUGCGAAGUCUUUGGCAGAAGUUCUCUUACGACCUCCUGUGCCAAAGGAGGAGAGACUAAGAGGAUUCACACAGUUAUAACAGUUGAGAUGACAGAAGAUGCUGAGAUGACAGAAGAAAAGAAUUAUUUUGAGUAGCAGAAUUUUUUUGCAGUUACGUUUUACAACAAAAGACACCCUCCUGGGCAACAAAGGAAGGUCUCUGUAGCACACAGAGUUAAGUCAGUCCUUCCUUCCAAGCAGAAAAGCAGAGAGUGCAUCUAUCACACCAUGACUGCAGGAGAUACACGCGCACACCCACACCCCCAGCCCUGUCAAAGGCCCCAGACGGCAGAUCCGACUGCUUAUUCAGAGGCGAGCCCCUGCCCAGCCCCAGGAGCCUCCCACUUGCAGACUGCCGGAUGGACUGCGGAGGCUCGCACCGCCAAUUUAACAAUAGUACGAUGGGGUGAUCAGUGAGCCACAAGUGGGAAUGAACAAACAAUUGACUCAACCCGCCAAGCCUCAGCGGUGUAAGAGCAGGAAGAGCUCGUGACAAGGGCACACACUGAAUCAGACACAAAAAAAAGCCAAAAUCAGCACUGCUGCCUUGAAAUCCACACAAAGGAGAGUACAGAGGGAACUUUCUAUAGGUCACUUCGAUCAUAAAAAAUGACUCUAUAAUGUACGUGUUUCCCAAAUCAUUGGGGUGUUUAUAGAAGGAACACUGGCCUGGGAACAGCCUGUCCCCUCUCUAUACACACUGGGAGUGUAAAACUCCAGAAGGUAACUCUAGAAAUCCACACAGUGAACAACAGGACAGGUUUAGCAGGGAAGAGGACAAUGAUGGUAAUGACAGAACCCAAGCAAAGCACACACACCCGACAGAAGUCAAGAAAAGCAGAACCAUAGAAUUGUUUGGUUGGAAAAAACCUUCGAGACCAUCAAGUCCAACUGUACCUGCCCACUACUAAACCAUCUCUGAGCAAAGACACCAGCUGAUCAUCCAAGGACACAGUACAAGCCAGGCCAUCCCCAGCUCUCUCAGCCUAACACACACAUGGAUCUCAGCGUAUUUGUGGGUGCUCAGUUGUCACCAUCACCCUCAACUGCGGGCUAACGCUAACGAGACGGAGUGGCGUUGUCAAGUGAGUAAACGAUGGAUACCAAACUGCACUGGAGGCGGCUGUCAUCGCCCGUUCCAGGGGGCAUCAUGCAGAUUCCAGACAAAAUGCCAGACUCCAUAAUCCAACGCGUCCUACCAGAAGGAAAACAAUUUUUUUUAUGGUCGGACACACGUUUGCUCUAAUAAAUAGUAACUCCAUCCUUGCACCACAGGCUUCCCUAAAUCCUGGGAGGCUCCAGGUCACCAGAGAGGAUGCAUUCCCAGGAUAACCACAAGCUCCGUCUGUAUUUAACUGGGAAGCAACACAGCUGUGACUGGUUACUGCAAGUGUUUUCAGGACAGGAAGUCCCAGGCUCUGCCUCCAUGUCAGAGCAUCUGGUGGAUUUUAAUACCAACAGCUACAGUGGAAAGGCUGUGAAGCCUGAUCUGCACGAGAAGCUACGUUCCCAAUGACUGCAGAAAAGCGCUGCAGGGAAUGGACAAAAAACAGACAAAAUUCUGCUUGAAGGAGCAGAAAUGCACAGCUGAUGCUUCCAGUUGCAUAGUGCUGGGAUGUGCUCAAGGCAAGUGAGCACCCACAAAACCCAGUAAGAUUCUCCGGCCAGAAACAAGAAGGGAAUGGAGGCAUCGCUGUGCUCAGUGGGCUGAAACAGGACCACACAGCACUGUAGGGUAAAACCACCCUCUGAAACAUGCUGGUCUUGGAGCAGGAAGACAGAUGAACAAGCCUUGGAACGCCUGCACUAGCACGUGCCUGGAGCCCUCCACAAGAAUUCACACGUAUGUAUUUUUAAAAGCUCACACUAUAGCUCUCCCAUUCCCACUCUCAUGCUUAAGACACAGGAGGAACGGAUUACAAAGAUGUUAGUUACAAACAACAAUAGCUAGGAAAUAUUCACACUGCCAGUGUUGCCAAGUUUGAGGCCUGAGGGGAUUUGGAGACAAUCCUACAUAGUCAAUCAAAACUAUUAAUUUGCUCCUGAGUGUAAAAAAAGCUGCUUCUGCUUCCACAUGUCUAACACCAGCUCCACACCUCACAGGAAACAGUCAAAUAGCCCGGCGGCACAGACAGGCCCUCUCCAUCUCUCAUCCUCCACGUGCCAUUAGGAUACGCGACACCACAUGAAAGGCACUGCUUUUCGUUCCCCGAUAACAAGCUCACUACGUGUGUUUCUUAUACAGAUGAAGGAGCAGUGCAAGAGAGCAUUCAAGUACUCAAUGGGAUCCCAGUGCAUAUGGAGAACAAGAGCCAUGCCAUAUAUUCCCAAAGUUGUCUCCCAAGAGGCCAGCGUGGUGCUCUGAAACAGGAAUGCUAUUGUACCACAGGCUACACCAACCCUUAACACAAAGAAAAUGCGAUGAGAUAAAUGCCACACCACAACAAAAAUGAGAAUAAAGGAGGGGAAGAUUAUUUCGGAGGAACUGUGUGACUUAACAGACAGAAAGCCCAUCUCCCAUUCAAAAUGCCCGGGUCUCCCCGAAGGAAAAGCAGCCCAUCACAGAGCAGAGAGGUCUCCUCUCAUAAAAGUCAAACGACAGCCACUUGUACCAAAAGACCAACGAAAGCAUUACCAUCAUCAGGCUGCAAAAAGGUUCCACAGAACAACUCAACAGCCCCACUGGGCAAAGAGGCUCCCGGGGAGAGCAGGAGAGCCAGCAGCCACUGCCCAGCUCAGCCGAACGGCCACCCAGCACCUCCAUGCGAGCAGGACCGGCGACCCACCCCAUUCCAAACACCUUAGAGGGAACCCUUCAGCUCACACAACAAUCAACAAGGCAAAGCAAUUAAUUAAGGGGGGUAUUUUCCUUCAUUAGCUGGGGCAAUUAAUACAAGUGGAAUGAAAAUCUAUUACAAAAUUAGGGCAACACAGCAGCUGGACAUUUCCUUAUCAGGCUGUACUUAACAGAAAGCCCCCUCAAAUCUCAGCAGUUACAAACACACACCAGACUUAUUGAGUGGAGGGAGCUGGACCUGGUAAAUCUGUGUUAGCAAGUUUGGGAGUGAUCUUAAAUGGAUGCUCGACUGUGCCAAGCGAAAUAAAAGGAUUUUAGGAAAGGAGUAGGAAUUCUACAGCACAGGCUUGUAGGAAAUUAUUCUUUAGGCAGGGGCAGUUAACCAGGCAUUAAACCGCAUCAAAAAUGCCGUCUCUGCAAGAGCUAUUUUUUCCCAGCCUAUAGAUGAUGGAGAGAGAGGCAGGAUUAGCGGUGAGGUGCUAGGAUGUCACUGUGGGCUGACACUGUUUCGCUAUUCCUGCUCUCACAAGUGACUGCAUCCGACAGGGGUAGCUGAUAACCUUCUGAAAAUAACUGAACUAUCAAAGAAUCCGUGUCCUUGCUAACACAGGUUUGAGGUUUUGCAGCUUGUAAAAAUGCAGAUUGAUUCUCAGUCUGAGGAGAGGAUCCUACAGCUCUACACUGGAAGAUAUUAAAUGCCUAAGGACAACUGAAUUGCCUGGCUCCCUAUCUGAACAUCUCCAUUUUGCUUUGACUGAGAACUGAAAAGUCAGGUCUCUUCCUUGCAGCAGGGCAUACAGAGAUCUCACUACUUUUCUCUUUUUUCUUUUAAUUUAAAUAAUUAAAAGGCUACUUUUUCCAUAUUCAGUCAAGAGCAACAUCAGGAAAUAACCCUACGUGAGGCAAUCCAGAGGUUACAACUCUCCUGACCAAAUUCCUGUAACUUGCGUCACCCCAACCCAAAAAGCACAUUUCUUGCUUCACUAAUUACAAACCACUGUAGCUCUACUAAAGCACAGUGAAGACUUAAGUGACAUCUUGGGAAGAAAUAUUUUCCUGAGGGUGGGGAGGCCCUGGCCCAGGUUACCCAGGGAAGUUGUGGCUGCCCCAUCCCUGGAGGUGUUCCAGGCCAGGUUGGAUGGGACUUGGAGCCCCUGAUCCAGUGGGAGGUGUCCCCGCCCAUGGCAGAGGGUGGGACUGGAUGGGCUUUGAGGUCCCUUCCAGCCUAAACCAUCCAUGAUUCUAUGAUGACUCUAUGAAGGGAUGUAGUGAAGGAAGAGGGAUCAAUCAAGUGAAUUUUCUUGAGCAAUCCAUCACCUGCAGUUCCAAGGCACAGGCAAGGUGGCAUGGGAUGAGAAUUAUGUUUUAUCUAACAAAUUUUAUGCAUCUUGUACACUGGGCAACAGCUCUUGCCUCAAAUACCGGAGUACACGUUCCCCUUGGGUACUUAUCCACUACGAGUUUAAGCCAUUUUGAAUUUUUCAGGGCUGGAAAUGUUCAGAUUUACCAGGUGCAACUGCACGCCAGGUAGUCCUCAUGUUUGCAGCUCCAGCUUGCCAAAGGACAGGACAGAUACAGGGGAGACACACAAUUAAGAAUCCCCCUGCUACACAAGGCAUAAGGAAAAGCAAAGCGUGCAACCAUAGCUGACUGAGAGCUGCAAACCAGAGGGCUCACCUACAGUCGUGUGUGUGUGUGUGUGUGUGCACACGCAGCCGGGGGAGGCACUUGAUGCUAGCAGAGAUCUUUCCGACUGGAUUUCACUGUGAGUACACAAGCAUCAGGGCCGAAACCUGCAUUAGGAGUCUGCCAGCCACCAGCCUCUGCCAGCGUGCCAGAGGUGCUAGGGAGGAGGGCAGACCACUUGGUGGCCAGCAGCUCCUUCACAUGGGCAUUUCUAAGCCUUUCACAAGUUUCUGGAAACACCAUUUAAACUGCGGUGUUGUGUGUUAUACAACAGAUCUUCCUUUCGAUGGGUCAAAAACCCCUCACUGGCUUUCCACCAACCCACCAAAAAAUAUGCAUAAAAACUCUUCUAGCAGCAUUGA